AUGCUAUAGAAUGCGAGCCCAGCCGCCUUCUAAGCGGUCGGUCGCAGGUUCGAGUCCUGCAGGGCGCGCCA
rnacentral:tRNA from 1 species